CAGAGUCUGACGGGGGGCCUGAACCCACAAACCACGAGAUCGUGACCUGAGCCAAAGUGGGACGCUCAACUGACUGAGCCACCCAGGCACAGAAGGCUUUUUAAAGCUCCACUGGCAUCCAGACUCAGCUCUGAGGAUCUCGCCUCCAACUUCCCAGGCAGAAAUACACAUUUCCUCUGUGUUGCCACCGAUCUGGUCGAUACAUCACAUUUCGUCCUCGCAGCCCUAGCUGAUGCCCAGAAGCCAGGGGAAGGAAGAGGUUGGGACAGACUCUCCCUCACAGCCUCAGAAGGAAUUAACCCUGCCGGCACCUUGAUCUUAAAUUCCUAGCUUCUAGAACCAUGAGACAGUACAUUUCUGUUGUUUCACCUCCCCCAGGCUGUGGUACUUGGUUAAGACAGUGCUGGAAAACUAAUGUGUACAUAUUCAUACUGCCUCCUGAUUAUUGGAAAGCGCGUUUUAGUUACCGGAUUUUCUGUGGGUUUUUUUUUUCCCCUUUUUUUAAUGUUUAGUUUCGAGAGAGAGACAGAGACAGAGCACAAGCAGGGAAGGGGCAGAGAGAGCGAGAGGGAGACACAGAAUCCGAAACAGGCUCCAGGCUCUGAGCUGUCAGCACAGAGCCCAGGCGCCCCAAUCAGGUCGUUUUCCUAAUGCCUUUUUCCAUCCUUGGUCUGGCUGGGGUCUCCGGUGCGGCAGGACAGGUUCUGACCCUUCUUUUCACAGUCUAUGUGGGCAGAGGUUGGCCUUGCUGUUGCCUGACCGCUGUAAGGUAGAUAACUCCACGGCCUUACUUGUAGCUAGAAAGAUCUAGAGUAGUCUGGGCACCGUCAGAACAGCUGGGUCUUACUCGAAGCCUCGUGUCCCCGCGUGGCCGGCCAGACGCGCAGGGAGAGAUCCGGUUUUUAGACUCAAACCCACUGCUUGGCAUGAAGGACCAUGACCAAUGGCACCACAAACCCCAUCAGGGAUGUGAAUUCUUGGUGCCAGUGCUCGGGAAUGGGGACGCACCAGGAGCAGGCUCCUAAUGACAGCAGUGCCCCUGGUUCCUCGAGUCUGAGUUGCCCUGGGAAAGCUGACUGUGUCACAGCUAUCGACAGCCCUGAGGUUGUCCCCAGGAGAGAUACCCAGCAGCGCCUAGCACUCCGGAAAGAGCUUGACUUGCCACGUGGAGUUAUUUACAAAAUGACAAUGUGCUGUUCUGUUUCUCUCCUUUGAUUAAAAAAUAAAAUUGAUCUUAAAAAUCAAAGAGAAAA